rnacentral:rRNA from 1 species
GACGAACGCUGGCGGCGUGCUUAACACAUGCAAGUCGAACGGAAAGGCCUCUUUCGGGGGGUACUCGAGUGGCGAACGGGUGAGUAACACGUGAGUAACCUGCCCUUGACUUUGGGAUAACUUCAGGAAACUGGGGCUAAUACCGGAUAGGAGCUCCUGCUGCAUGGUGGGGGUUGGAAAGUUUCGGCGGUUGGGGAUGGACUCGCGGCUUAUCAGCUUGUUGGUGGGGUAGUGGCUUACCAAGGCUUUGACGGGUAGCCGGCCUGAGAGGGUGACCGGCCACAUUGGGACUGAGAUACGGCCCAGACUCCUACGUGAGGCAGCAGUGGGGAAUAUUGCACAAUGGGUGGAAGCCUGAUGCAGCAACGCCGUGUGCGGGAGGACGGCCUUCGGGUUGGAAACCGCUUUCGCUCAUGACGAAGCUUUGUGUGACGGUAGUGGGUAAAGAAGCACCGGCUAACUACGUG